GGGGUUGUGACUCAGUGGUAGAGAGCUUAUUUAGCACAUGUGAGGCACUGGGUUUGAUCCUCAGCACCACCU
rnacentral:tRNA from 1 species